rnacentral:rRNA from 1 species
AGUGAACGCUGGCGGUAGGCCUAACACAUGCAAGUCGAACGGCAGCACAGUAAGAGCUUGCUCUUACGGGUGGCGAGUGGCGGACGGGUGAGGAAUACAUCGGAACCUACUUUUUCGUGGGGGAUAACGUAGGGAAACUUACGCUAAUACAGCAUAUGACCUACGGGUGAAAGGAGGGGAUCUUCGGACCUUGUGCGAUUGAAUGAGCCGAUGUCGGAUUGGCUAGUUGGCGGGGUAAAGGCCCACCAAGGCGGCGAUCCGUAGCUGGUCUGAGAGGAUGGUCAGCCACACUGGAACUGAGACACGGUCCAGACUCCUACGAGAGGCAGCAGUGGGGAAUAUUGGACAAUGGGCGCAAGCCUGAUCCAGCCGUACCGCGUGGGUGAAGAAGGCCUUCGGGUUGUAAAGCCCUUUUGUUGGGAGAGAAAAGCAGCAGGUUAAUACCCCGCUGUUCUGACGGUACCCAAAGAAUAAGCACCGGCUAACUUCGUG